UACGAAGGGGACUAGCGUUGUUCGGAAUCACUGGGCGUAAAGCGCACGUAGGCGGAUAUGUCAGUCAGGGGUGAAAUCCCGGGGCUCAACCUCGGAACUGCCUUUGAUACAGCAUGUCUUGAGUCCGAUAGAGGUGGGUGGAAUUCCUAGUGUAGAGGUGAAAUUCGUAGAUAUUAGGAAGAACACCGGUGGCGAAGGCGGCCCACUGGAUCGGUACUGACGCUGAGGUGCGAAAGCGUGGGGAGCGAACAGG
rnacentral:rRNA from 1 species